AUGAGUGAUGAGGAUAUAAAUAAGAAGACACAAAAAGCAGUGGAUGAUCUUGGUAGAGGUAUAGUGAAUAAAAUGCUUCAUGGUCCAAUGCAACAUUUGAGAUGUGAUGGGAGUGAUAGUAGGACUUUGAGUGAAACACUUGAGAAUAUGCAUGCUUUGAAUAGAAUGUUUGGUCUUGAAACUGAGGUUUCUGUUUUGGAGCAGAAGAUUAGAGCUAAAGUGGAGCAAAAACCAUAG